GACGGAAGGUGCAAGCGUUGCUCGGAAUCACUGGGCGUAAAGGGUGCGUAGGCGGCCGUGCAAGUCUGGCGUGAAAGCCCCGGGCUCAGCCCGGGAAGUGCGCUCGAAACUGCGCGGCUCGAGUGCCGGAGGGGAGAGUGGAAUUCCUGGUGUAGCGGUGAAAUGCGCAGAUAUCAGGAAGAGCACCCGUGGCGAAGGCGGCUCUCUGGGACGGUACUGACGCUGAGACGCGAAAGCGUGGGGAGCGAACAGG
rnacentral:rRNA from 1 species